rnacentral:rRNA from 1 species
CUAUACAUGACUCUGCGCAUAUCAAUAAGCGGAGGAAAAGAAACUAACAAGGAUUCCCUUAGUAACGGCGAGUGAAGCGGGAAGAGCUCAAAUUUGAAAUCUUCAAGGGUUUACCUUUACGAAUUGUAGUUUAAAGAAGUGUUUUCUGCUGAGGUUUUGGUAAAAGUUCUUUGGAAUAGGACAUCAUAGAGGGUGAGAAUCCCGUAUUUGACCAUUACUUUCAACUUUGUGAUACACUUUCAAAGAGUCGGAUUGUUUGGGAAUGCAGUCCAAAAUGGGUGGUAAAUUUCAUCUAAAGCUAAAUAUUGGCGAGAGACCGAUAGCGAACAAGUACCGUGAGGGAAAGAUGAAAAGAACUUUGAAAUGAGAGUUAAACAGUACGUGAAAUUGUCAAAAGGGAAAGCGUUUGACACCAGUGUUGUUUUCUCGAAAAUCAAUUAAAAAUGGCUCGAUUUUGUAUUGCUUGAGACCUUAAAAGCUCACUGUACAUUUUUCGUGUCUUUUUUAAUGCACUUUUCGUUUAACAAGUCAACAUCAGUUUCUUUUGUUGUAAAAGGGUCAUUGGAAGGUGGCUUUCUUUUCGGAGAAAGUGUUUAUAGCCUUUGGCCUCUGCAAUCGGAGAGACUGAGGUCUACAGCGUAGACUCUUCGGGGUUAGAUACAUUUGUGCUAAGUUAUAGCUUUUUAUAGACAACUUGUUGACUAUGAUUAGUCUUGUAGCUUACUCGCUUAUGCUAUUUUACCUACGCUUAGGAUGUUGACAGCAGUAUAGACUGU